UAUCAUCACACUUUAAUUAUUUCAUGUGACCAUUCGUUACCCACAAAAUACACCCAAAAUUUUCAAUUCCCCUGCUCUUCCCUCCAUCAAGCUCCAUCCAUUUCAAUCUUCCUACUCAUCCCUCCCGUUCUAGUGCCUUCGUCUGCAACCAGGUAACUCUCCCCUGCAGAAUAGUCCUAAUUUUGAAAUUAAAAACCCUAGGUUUACAGAGGAAGGAUGUAGAACAUUUUUAUUUCUCUAAGACCAGCGAUUCAGGACGAUUUCAGUUGCUAAGAAUUUGAAGACGCAGACGAUGAAUUAUUGUUGCAUUACCAGAUGCUCUUUUGAGGUAGUUGUUCUUUGCCAAGUAGAAAAGGCUAAAGAAGAUAUAUGCUCGAUAAACUCCACAGUUCUUUCCCAAAGUACAGUGAGAAUAUAGGAGCUGCUUCAAGAGGACGGUAAUGUAAAGCGAAAAAGAGAGAAAAUAAAAAAGCAAUCCUCCCUGCUCUCUAAACUCACCAGGCAACUCAGCAUUCAUGAUAACCGAGCAACUGCUGCUUCAGCCAUGUCAAAUGAUAGUCCUGCAGGUAAUAGAGUAUAAAAGUGGAACGAAAGAAAGCCUGGCUAAAUCUUCAGCUGAAAUCUUCAGCUGAAACUAAACCUCAAGCUGCUGCUAAAAUAACGCCCGGGCUUAUGUGCUUUGAACUUAGAACACGUUGAAAAAAAAAAUCCUCAGUACUUGCUACCUUUUUUUUUCAUCUGGUUUAUAAAAUUUACACUUGAAUGUUGAUCAAAGUUUGACUUUUAAUGGUUAAAUGUUCACUUUUAAAUA